rnacentral:rRNA from 1 species
GGGCCCGCACAAGCAGCGGAGCGUGUUGCUUAAUUCGAUGCAACGCGAAGAACCUUACCAGGGUUUGACAUCCUGCGAAUCUCUUGGAAACGAGAGAGUGCCUUCGGGAGCGCAGUGACAGGUGGUGCAUGGCUGUCGUCAGCUCGUGUCGUGAGAUGUUGGGUUAAGUCCCGCAACGAGCGCAACCCACGUCUUUAGUUGCCAGCAUUUAGUUGGGCACUCUAGAGAGACCGCCGGUGAUAAACCGGAGGAAGGUGUGGAUGACGUCAAGUCAUCAUGCCCCUUACAUCCUGGGCUACACACGUACUACAAUGCUACGGACAAAGAGCAGCAAGUUCGCGAGGACAAGCAAAUCUCAUAAACCGUGGCUCAGUUCAGAUCGUAGGCUGCAACUCGCCUACGUGAAGGAGGAAUCGCUAG